UUUUCCUUUGUUACAUUAUUAGGUGCUACCAUUACGUCAUAAUUUGGAUGUAAUGCACAUUGAGAAAAAUGUAUGCGAAAGCAUUGUUGGUACAUUGUUAGAUAUAAAUGGUAAAACAAAAGAUAGAUUAAAUGCUCAUAAGGAUUUACAAGACAUGGGAAUUAAGAAGGAGUUACAUCCAGAGGACCGAGGUAAUAGAAUAUACCUUCCUCCUGCUCCACAUAUGUUGUCAAGGUUAGAGAAACAAACAUUUUGUAAGAGGUUGUUUAACUUGAAAUUACCUGAUGGGUAGAGUUCAAAUGUAGCCACUUGUAUGUCAGUAGAUGAAUACAAAAUGAUUGGCCUCAAGUCACAUGAUUGUCAUGUCCUCAUGCAACAACUUUUGGCUGUAGCAUUAAGAGGAUUACUUCCAAAAGGACUGAGACAUGCAAUUUUUAGACUGUGCACAUUCUUCAAUAGAUUAUGCCAACGUGUUGUUGAUAGAGAGAAAAUAGCAAUAUUAGAAGAUGAAGUAGUUGAAACCUUAUGCAGUCUUGAAAGAUUCUUUCCUCUUGCAUUUUUUGAUAUCAUGAUACAUCUGGUGGUACAUUUGGGAAGAGAAGUACGAUUAUGUGGUCCAGUUCACUAUUGUUGGAUGUAUCCUUUUGAGAGGUGAGAAAUUCACUAUUACUUGGAUAAAUUUACACACAUAAUUUCAUUCUUAGUACUAAUUUGUUUACUUUGUUUAAUUAUAGACAUAUGAAGAUAUUCAAAGGACAUGUGAGAAAUCGUGCACGACCCGAAGGUUACAUAGCUGAAUGUUAUCUUGUAGAUGAGUGCAUGAAUUUUUGUACCGAGUUUAUGAAAUAAGUAAGAGAAAUUGGUCAUCGAGAGGGGCGCAAUCAAGAUUAUGUUAGCAAUGAAAUUACUGAGGGACGUCCCAUUUCUGCUCCAAAUUUUAUUACACUAAGUAAUGAAAAGUUAGAGUAGCACAUCGUUAUGUAUUAUUCAAUACAUCUUAUGUGGAACCUUAUUUGGAGUAAGUCAUCCACUUUUCAUAUUA
rnacentral:lncRNA from 1 species